GACGAACGCUGGCGGCGUGCUUAACACAUGCAAGUCGAACGGAAAGGCCCUGCUUUUGUGGGGUGCUCGCGUGGCGAACGGGUGAGUAACACGUGAGUAACCUGCCCUUGACUUUGGGAUAACUUCAGGCAACUGGGGCUAAUACCGGAUAGGAGCUCCUGCUGCAUGGUGGGGGUUGGAAAGUAUCGGCGGUUGGGGAUGGACUCGCGGCUUACCAGCUUGUUGGUGGGGUAGUGGCUUACCCAGGCUUUGACGGGUAGCCGGCCUGAGAGGAUGACCGGCCACAUUGGGACUGAGAUACGGCCCAGACUCCUACGGGAGGCAGCAGUGGGGAAUAUUGCACAAUGGGCGGAAGCCUGAUGCAGCAACGCCGCGUGCGGGAUGACGGCCUUCGGGUUGUAAACCGCUUUCGCCUGUGACGAAGCGUGAGUGACGGUAAUGGGUAAAGAAGCACCGGCUAACUACGUG
rnacentral:rRNA from 1 species